AAUAACUUUGGUACUCACGUAAUAUUCUCCAUGCAAAAUUUCAUCAAAAAGCCACCAUGCAGCAUCACACAUCACUAAAGACGAAAUCCCCAAGGUGAUAUUGAACGCCACUAAAGGAGAAGGCACUCGAGACAGAUAUCCGUUGUCUGCAAGUGAUUCCAGACGUUUCAGCACCUGGGCAACAGUGCUGGACAGUGGAUUGCUGAAAGGGAAAACACCCUCAGCUGGCUACGUAUACUACAAGGCAACAACAAGCAUUAAGUCAAUCACAAAUGAUGAUGAUGACAAAUCCGUUCCACACUACCCUGUCUCACAACAGCAGCAUGUUCCUGGCUCAUUUGAUCCUCACUCCAGGGACUGGGCAUCUAAUUAAAUUAAUAUUUACCUGUAUGAACAUUUUAGCUUGUAAUAACAAUUUCUUUUUUUCUGUAGGUUCGAUGGCCAUUGAUAAUUGGAGAGCAGCUUUGGAAUGCAAUAGCUUGUCUGGCUUCGUCUGGUCCUAAGUUACACCAAACAGAACACAGGAUCUAAACAAAUUUAGAUUAAGAUUUUUUAGACUUAAUGUUUCAGCUGAAGUUUUUGUGUGACCUAGCACCUAGGUGCUUGUGACAAUAGAAAUCAAGGCUAAUUAUAAUAUUUCAGGUUAACUUCCUGUGGUAAAUCUUCAAGAUAUUGAUUAUUGAUGCCUUCCCCAGAUCCAAUUUAUUAUAAAUUAUAAAGAGUUUCAAGUACAGUAGACAAUUAAUCAAGUACACAGUGAGAGAUAAAAAAUAUUGCUUUGAA